rnacentral:lncRNA from 1 species
CCUUCAACGUCUAGUAAACGUAAGGUAGAGCGGUAGAGAACAUGACGGGGCAAGGCGGAGGGUCAUUUAGCAGUGAGCGCAGUGCGACCGCCUCAGCCCGAACAGACUGAGCCGAGGAGAACGCCGACCCACGCGAGUUCCUGCUGCAGCACUACCACACCAGCCGAGACAGGUUGAUGCCGGGAAAAUAUUCGGCACAGCUGCAACCCUGCUCGGCCCGGCGUGUUCACGCUGUUCCCAUGGGGUGGCGUUUGACGCCUGCACCAAUGCACAAGAGGCGGCACUGGUAGGGGACAA